UCAGGAGAAGGAACUCGGCAAAUUGACACCGUAACUUCGGAAGAAGGUGUGCCUUGAUAACGUGAAGUCCCUCGCGGAUGGAGCGGUAAGAGGUUGCAGAGAAUCGGUGGCUGCGACUGUUUAACAAAAACACAGCACUCUGCUAAGACGAUGAGUCGACGUAUAGGGUGUGACGCCUGCCCGGUGCCGGAAGGUUAAAUGAUGGGGUGCAAGCUCUUGAUUGAAGCCCCGGUAAACGGCGGCCGUAACUAUAACGGUCCUAAGGUAGCGAAAUUCCUUGUCGGGUAAGUUCCGACCUGCACGAAUGGCGUAACGAUGGCCACACUGUCUCCUCCUGAGACUCAGCGAAGUUGAAAUGUUUGUGAAGAUGCAAUCUCCCCGCGGCUAGACGGAAAGACCCCAUGCACCUUUACUGUAGCUUUACAUUGGACUGUGACACGGUCUGUGUAGGAUAGCUGGGAGCCUUUGAAGUGCGGACGCUAGUUCGCAUGGAGGCGACGUUGAAAUACCAGCCUGAUAGUGUUGCGGUUCUAACCUUGGUCCCUUAUCGGGAUCGGGGACCGUGUAUGGCAGGCAGUUUGACUGGGGCGGUCUCCUCCCAAAGAGUAACGGAGGAGUGCGAAGGUACGCUAGGUACGGUCGGACAUCGUACUGAUAGUGCAAUGGCAUAAGCGUGCUUGACUGCGAGACUGACAAGUCGAGCAGGUGCGAAAGCAGGUCAUAGUGAUCCGGUGGUUCUGAAUGGAAGGGCCAUCGCUCAACGGAUAAAAGGUACGCUGGGGAUAACAGGCUGAUUCCUCCCAAGAGUUCAUAUCGACGGGGGAGUUUGGCACCUCGAUGUCGGCUCAUCACAUCCUGGGGCUGUAGCCGGUCCCAAGGGUAUGGCUGUUCGCCAUUUAAAGUGGUACGUGAGCUGGGUUCAAAACGUCGUGAGACAGUUUGGUCCCUAUCUGCCGUGGGCGUUGGAAAUUUGACGGGGGCUGCUCCUAGUACGAGAGGACCGGAGUGGACGUACCGCUGGUGUACCUGUUGUCUCGCCAGAGGCAUUGCAGGGUAGCUAUGUACGGAAGAGAUAACCGCUGAAAGCAUCUAAGCGGGAAACUCGCCUGAAGAUAAGAUUUCCCGGGGGUUUAACCCCCUUGAAGGGUCGUUCGAGACCAGGACGUUGAUAGGUCGGGUGUGGAAGCGUGGUAACACGUUAAGCUAACCGAUACUAAUUGCCCGUAAGGCUUGACUCU
rnacentral:rRNA from 1 species